AACGAACGCUGGCGGCAGGCCUAACACAUGCAAGUCGAGCGAGAACUUCGGUUCUAGCGGCGGACGGGUUAGUAACGCGUGGGAAUAUGCCCUUCACUACGGAAUAGUCCCGGGAAACUGGGUUUAAUACCGUAUACGCCCUUCGGGGGAAAGAUUUAUCGGUGAAGGAUUAGCCCGCGUUGGAUUAGGUAGUUGGUGGGGUAAUGGCCUACCAAGCCGACGAUCCAUAGCUGGUUUGAGAGGAUGAUCAGCAACACUGGGACUGAGACACGGCCCAGACUCCUACGGGAGGCAGCAGUGGGGAAUCUUAGACAAUGGGGGCAACCCUGAUCUAGCCAUGCCGCGUGAGUGAAGAAGGUUUUCGGAUCGUAAAACUCUGUUGUUAGAGAAGAACAAGGAUGAGAGUAACUGUUCAUCCCUUGACGGUAUCUAACCAGAAAGCCACGGCUAACUACGUGCCAGCCGCCGCAGUAAAAC
rnacentral:rRNA from 1 species